UACAGAGGUCCCGAGCGUUGUUCGGAUUCAUUGGGCGUAAAGGGUGCGUAGGCGGCGGGGUAAGUUUGAUGUGAAAUCCCGAGGCUCAACCCUGGAAUUGCAUUGAAUACUACCUUGCUAGAGUACCGGAGAGGAAACUGGAAUUUACGGUGUAGCAGUGAAAUGCGUAGAGAUCGUAAGGAAGACCAGUGGCGAAGGCGAGUUUCUGGACGGUAACUGACGCUGAGGCACGAAGGCCAGGGGAGCAAACGGG
rnacentral:rRNA from 1 species